UACGUAGGGCGCAAGCGUUUGUCCGGAAUUAUUGGGCGUAAAGAGCGUGUAGGCGGCUUGGCAAGUCCGCUGUGAAAACUCGAGGCUCAACCUCGAGACGUCGGUGGAAACUGCCUCGCUAGAGUCCGGAAGAGGAGAGUGGAAUUCCUGGUGUAGCGGUGAAAUGCGCAGAUAUCAGGAAGAACACCCGUGGCUAAGGCGGCUCUCUAGUACGGUACUGACGCUGAGACGCGAAAGCGUGGGGGAGCGAACAGG
rnacentral:rRNA from 1 species